rnacentral:ncRNA from 14 species
GGGGAUAGUUCAAUUUGGUAGAAUAGUGGUUUCCAAAGCCGAAGGCUGUGGGUUCAAGUCCCGCUCCU